rnacentral:rRNA from 1 species
AUUGAACGCUGGCGGCAUGCCUUACACAUGCAAGUCGAACGGCAGCACGGGUGCUUGCACCUGGUGGCGAGUGGCGAACGGGUGAGUAAUACAUCGGAACAUGUCCUGUAGUGGGGGAUAGCCCGGCGAAAGCCGGAUUAAUACCGCAUACGAUCUACGGAUGAAAGCGGGGGACCUUCGGGCCUCGCGCUAUAGGGUUGUCCGAUGGCUGAUUAGCUAGUUGGUGGGGUAAAGGCCUACCAAGGCGACGAUCAGUAGCUGGUCUGAGAGGACGACCAGCCACACUGGGACUGAGACACGGCCCAGACUCCUACGGGAGGCAGCAGUGGGGAAUUUUGGACAAUGGGCGAAAGCCUGAUCCAGCAAUGCCGCGUGUGUGAAGAAGGCCUUCGGGUUGUAAAGCACUUUUGUCCGGAAAGAAAUCCUUGGCCCUAAUACGGUCGGGGGAUGACGGUACCGGAAGAAUAAGCACCGGCUAACUACGUG